ACUAAUCCUCGUUAGGUGAGGCUACUGUAUGAACAUAGUCCACUGCCCGGAAAUGUCGAGAGACGCCAACGGGUAGAACAAGCACUGCCGGAUUAAGGCUUUGUUUAAGGUGGAUGAGUUGAUAACUCUACGUCAUACAGUGUCAAAGCUCAAUGAGUUGAGGAAGGUG
rnacentral:sRNA from 2 species